CAGCAGCCGCGGGAAUACAGAGGGUGCGAGCGUUAAUCGGAUUUACUGGGCGUAAAGCGUGCGUAGGCGGCUUCUUAAGUCGGAUGUGAAAUCCCUGAGCUUAACUUAGGAAUUGCAUUCGAUACUGGGAAGCUAGAGUAUGGGAGAGGAUGGUAGAAUUCCAGGUGUAGCGGUGAAAUGCGUAGAGAUCUGGAGGAAUACCGAUGGCGAAGGCAGCCAUCUGGCCUAAUACUGACGCUGAGGUACGAAAGCAUGGGGAGCAAACAGGAUUAGAUACCCCUGUAGUCCCUGUCUCUUAUAC
rnacentral:rRNA from 1 species